rnacentral:rRNA from 1 species
UACGUAGGGUGCGAGCGUUGUCCGGAAUUAUUGGGCGUAAAGAGCUCGUAGGCGGUUUGUUGCGUCGGCCGUGAAAACCUGCAGCUUAACUGUGGGCCUGCGGUCGAUACGGGCAGACUUGAGUUCGGUAGGGGAGACUGGAAUUCCUGGUGUAGCGGUGAAAUGCGCAGAUAUCAGGAGGAACACCGGUGGCGAAGGCGGGUCUCUGGGCCGAUACUGACGCUGAGGAGCGAAAGCGUGGGUAGCAAACAGG